rnacentral:rRNA from 1 species
UACGUAGGGGGCUAGCGUUGUCCGGAAUCAUUGGGCGUAAAGAGCGUGUAGGCGGUCCGGUAAGUCCGCUGUGAAAGUCGGGGGCUCAACCCUCGAAUGCCGGUGGAUACUGUCGGGCUAGAGUGCGGAAGAGGCGAGUGGAAUUCCUGGUGUAGCGGUGAAAUGCGCAGAUAUCAGGAGGAACACCGGUGGCGAAGGCGGGUCUCUGGGCAAUAACUGACGCUGGAGGAGCGAAAGCGUGGGGAGCGAACAGG